AACUAAUGAGAAAUUAACUAAAAAAAGUUGUCCUUGCAAUGCUUUGCUGAAGUGGCAUUUUGAAAAAACACUUCUAAGUAUCGCCUUUACAAUUCUGCGUUCUGUAAAUAAUGUUUCAGAAAGAGAAAUGGAAAUUUUAGCCUGCUGGUAUAACAAUGAAGUCUUGAAGCAAAUUGUCUGUAAUUGAUUGAGAUUUUUAAAAAAGACAACAUUCACAUGUGUGUUUUUCUUUAGAACACCUCUGAAGUAGUUUUUUUAGCUUUUCUUUCAAAGUGUACACUACAGAUUGUGCAUCUAUUAUUCUUUGCAUCCUAAAUUGCUGAGGGUUCCUUAACAAUCCGGUUUCAUAAAGGGAUAAAACCAGCAGAAGCUCAUGAAGCAGGGCCAGGGCAGCUAACUAAAUGCAGAGAAAAACCAGUACAUAGUUGUAAAAAUAGCACCUGGCUGCUGCUGGUCCAAACAGCUCUUAACUUGAUUACGAAUCGCCCCCUAACUGAGCUCAGAUAUAAGUGCAGAGGCUAGUGUUUAUGAAAAGAUUCCUGCUUUCCUUGGGCUAAAAUGUGUUCUGUUAUGUUACAAGGAGGUAGCACCAGCUUGCUGUCGUUCUGGGGUCCUCUUCUCGCACGGAGCUCCUGUCCUGCCACCGCUGCCUCCACCAGGAAGAGGAAUGCGGCCACCACCAGCCCAUGACUGCUCGCAGUGACACCCAGAAACAUCUACACAGCUGCUUGACUUCAGCCUUUGUUACACAGGACUUGUUAUCUCACACCACAGAUGCAGCAGUUCUGAUCCUGAAAGAAGAUGCUUCCCGAGGAAGGUUUCUACUCCAUUCUUGGUGACCAGAGAUCACAGGAUUUAUUCAGCCUGUUUCGAAUUCACUUGGUGAGUUCUGCUGGCUGCUAUCGCUGCUGCCAGACUGUCGUCGUCUUCUCCUGCCUUUUAUCAGGACGCUCCGAUACACCUGCAGGGAAAAAGAGGAGCAUAACACGGGAAGUAUGAUUAAAUGUGCAGUUACAGAGUCAGGAAACAAUAUGCACGAUAGAGCUGCUUUUUAGAAGACUUCUCUGUGGUAUCAGAUUGUUUCCUACAGGGGAAAAUACAGCCUCCUACGAUGAUUAUCCACUAGGCACUGGUGCUGUAGCUUGUAAGUGAAAAUAUUUUCAUCUAUAGAUAUAAUUCAGCAUAAAAAGCUUUCGGUAGUGCAGGAUUUUGACUCUGUCUUUAAGGAGAGUGCUCACAGACUGCGUAUAUUUAACAUUAAAUCUUAUUUUACUUUGAAAAUCUCUACAUUCCUAAAGGCAUUUAAUUAACCAGAAGCCACAUCAUUUAACAUUAACUGUACUUACAUGACUCUUGGCUUGUGGUUGUGUCCGAUAGCAGCGCAUAAUGUUCUGAAAUGAUCUGUCUUCCUUAGUAACCUAAGGAUAGACAAACAGACAAGAUUAAAAUUGUUCCUGUGUUCCUUUUUUUUCCCCCAUGAUUUGUUUAGGGGUGGUUGUUUUUUGGGUAGGUUGUUUGAGGAAUUUGUAGUCAUAGUAUAUUAAGCCUUAAAAAAGCAGCAGGUGUUUUUAUUCACCUUACCUUAGACAUUACAUAGAUGGCACACAUGAGCAGCUGAUCCAAGUGUCUGUCCAUCAUGAUUUCAGGGCAGUGCACCAAGGAAUACUCAAAACAAGUCCAGAUCUUUUUCCGCAGCUCAUCAGAUAUAUCGAGUUUGACACAGAGAUCCCGUAGACGAACACUAGCUAAAUGAUACACCUGUUGACAUUGAGACUGUGCUUAGGAGCACAUCAAUACUGCUUUUCUCAUCCAAGCUAAAGCACAGUUCAGGCUUGUACAGCCUGUAGAACUUGUGCAAAUGGUAAGUCAAAAGAAGAAUAACUAAAUUUAACUUUUGUGUUUACUGGUCUUGAUGCUAAGAAAGCAUUUGUUUGAAGCUUAAAUUCUGGAAUUAUUUGGAGUGCAGGAACAGCACCACAUAACCGCUGUAUUGAAUAAAUAAGAACAUCUCAAAGGUGAAUCUCUUUCUUGUAAAGAGCCUUAAAAGAAAAUGGAUACUUUUAAGCGGAUGCUGGCCACAUCUGUAAUCUACUCCAGAACUACAGCAGUGUUACUCUACUCCCCUGCCAGCGCGAAAUGGUCUGCAUGCUCUUAAGGUAUGUAUCCAAAUAGACUUAAGGUAUACAUUAACUUUUAAACUGAACAUUCUCUUACCAUUAUUAAAAAUAAGUAAAUAUUUUUAAGCCCUAGAGGACCUACCGCAAUACAAACUAAACAAAGAACAAAUCUGACUGAAACGUACCUUUCUAAAGAAGAGUGAAAGCGAGCCCAUCUUCCGGGGCCUGGCAGAUGCGGCAGUGGCAAGUUGCUGGGUUUGUCUUUGCUCUCCAGGAGAGAUCUGCUGCACAGUUACCUGGCCUGGUAGCUGUAACGUUGCCCCAGUCAUCUGGGUGUUCAGGGUACCAGCAAGAGUCUGGGCGCUGAGGGGCUGAAUGGAGCCAGAUACAGCUUGAGGCUGGGUUCCUACAUUUACCUGGACCGGGAAGAAAGUUAUUCCCCCAUUUUCGUUGGCAAUACCUGUAAUUUAAGAAAAAGAGUCUGAAAUGAGAGCAGGUUUUGGUGGUAUGAAUGAUAUUUUGUUUGUUUUAAUAAUUAAGUAAUUCUUUUAUUUGUUGCUUAUAAUAUAUAGCGUAUUAUAGAUAGGAAAUCGUUUCAUCAAAAUGCUUUGGAAUUCUUAUCAUAAAAAGACAGGAAUAUAAUGGAAUUGAACUAAUUUUUAAUAAUAAUGCUACUUUCUUGCCCUGCCAGUCAAGGAAGGAAUGGUUAUUGAAAUAUCUAAGUUCAAUAAACAGCUGCUGGCAGUCAGAAGAUCUUUGUGCUGUCAGUGUUCUGUCUCUAAAUUCUGCUCCCCUAUGCGUAUGAUUUUUCCCCAAUUAUUAAUUCUUAAACCUACUCUUUCACCACUGGCAUGCUGUUCUCCCUAAUGUACUUGUCUGUAUACAAAUACUCUGAUGAGAACCAGCCUAAUCCUACUGUUGCUUUUCCCUUACCUUGGACAGGUAUUGUAACGGUUUGCCCGUUAUUGGCUGUUACGGUGGCAGUUGCCACUGUGACCAGCGUCUGGCCGGGCACAGGAGUUACGGACAUGGCUUCAGGAUUCAUGUUCUGCACAGGCACCGUAUUUACCACGGGCUGCUGGGGAACUCUUACUGGAGUUCCACUGUCAGAGGUAUUAUCAUUAUCAACAAACAGUCUUCUCCUGGUGGGAUUGGCUGUAGGAGAACUGUAUCUGUCAUACAGGGUCGUGGGAGAAGAUGAGAGGCCUGAAGAUUUAAAAAAAUAUAUAUAUAUUUAUAUAUAUACACAUUUAAUUCUUGUAUAAUCUCUUAUUAUACAAAUACACGAAAGAAAUCUAAUAAGAACCAAAACUUGUCAGCCAAAUUCUUCUGGAAGCAUUUUUAAAAAGUUGUCUACAUUUAUGGCUUACAAAUCACUGUUACAGAUGACUUGAUCUCAAAUAAUGCAGUGUUCAAUGUUUUUCUAAACUAACAGGCUUCACAGAAGUAAAUAUAUAGCAGAGCUUCUAUUCUGGUAUAACAAUAAAACAAACCGUUUAGGGGCUACUGAUUAGAAUAUAUGUAUUUAUAUAUUUGUCUAUACACAUACAUAUAGACUCUUCAUACACAUAAAACCUUGAAACCACCCUAACAAAACACUAUUUUGAUUUGAAAUAAUGAAUGUAUCUUAAAUAUCUGACUUAUAGAAAUAUAUAUAGAAAUACCAUUUACAAGUUUUGCAACUAAUUCUACAUUGCCGGAGUAGCUUCCUUCUGUAACACCAUUUAGGUUUGUAAGCUAAAGAUGUGGUCUAAGAACAAUAACUGUGUUAUGCUUUAAAAAUCUCACCUUUUCCAAGUCCUCCACUUUCAGCACGAACCUCGUUUAUUCGUCUUGGCGUCAGUGGAGAACCUACAACACUGUUCCCAGCAGAUCUCUCAAAAUACUGAGGUGGCAUUACCUAAAAUAAUUGUGCUUUUAUUAAAAUGUCUCUAUCACAGAUUCACUGCAUAACAAGUUUUUAAAAGCUUCUAACCUAAGACAGUUGAAUGGCAAAGUAUAUACAAGAAAAUGAAACACUGAAGAGCACUGAAAAACUACUCCAAGUCUAACUUAAAACCAGUGUAACAAUUGUACAGGAUGUCGUGUCCACUCUAUUAUUCUGUCUGAGUAGGAAAACUAUGUGAAGCUACAUAAUGUAAAGAAGUGCUUACCUCUUCACAACUAGGAACUUUGUUUUCAUUAUCUCUGAUUCUGUCCCACAAUAUGGAUUCCUGCUUCCAUGCCAUGCUUUCCAGGAUCUGUUCUUCAAUAUGAUUAAGGUGUUUUACUACUUCCCGGCAGAGUCCAUCUUCUGCUCUAAUAAAAACCUCAAUUACCUGUAAAGCAAAGAAUUAUGAACUCCACAUAAUGCUAAAUAAACAGUGAGCGAUAAGUGUAA